UCUCCUGGAAAACGGGUGGUAAUGCCGGAUGCUCCAGUUGACCGCAUGGUCCUCUGGGAAAGAUUCAGCGGUAUGGGAUGGGGUCGCGUCCUAUCAGCUUGAUGGCGGGGUAACGGCCCACCAUGGCUUCGACGGGUAGCCGGCCUGAGAGGGCGACCGGCCACAUUGGGACUGAGAUACGGCCCAGACUCCUACGGGAGGCAGCAGUGGGGAAUAUUGCACAAUGGGCGCAAGCCUGAUGCAGCGACGCCGCGUGCGGGAUGACGGCCUUCGGGUUGUAAACCGCUUUUGACUGGGAGCAAGCCCUUCGGGGUGAGUGUACCUUUCGAAUAAGCACCGGCUAACUACGUGCCAGCAGCCGCGGUAAUACGUAGGGUGCAAGCGUUAUCCGGAAUUAUUGGGCGUAAAGGGCUCGUAGGCGGUUCGUCGCGUCCGGUGUGAAAGUCCAUCGCUUAACGGUGGAUCCGCGCCGGGUACGGGCGGGCUUGAGUGCGGUAGGGGAGACUGGAAUUCCCGGUGUAACGGUGGAAUGUGUAGAUAUCGGGAAGAACACCA
rnacentral:rRNA from 1 species